rnacentral:lncRNA from 1 species
GCCCACAGACUAACCAUCAGCAGUCCCCUCCCCAGGGCUGCUGGGCACAGACCGUGAUGUGGGCAUCCCGGGCUUGACCCUCCCUGGCUUCAGAAACAAGCCAAAGAAUGAGGUUUCUGCAGGAAAAACUCACGUUCCAGCCAGCAGCGCCCGCUCCAUUUCUGAUGGCAGUUGGUGGCAGUUAAUGUUCUGAAUCUCUGAUGCUGGCUCCUCCUCCUGGGUUCCGCCCACAGAAAAUGAAGGAGCAACCCAAGCUUUUCUCUCAGGACAUAAAGCAGAUCGACCUAGAUGUGACCUAUACCUUCUGAAACCACAUCAUGUUCUGGGACCGAUGGGCCUGGAGUGAGUGCCCCUGCUGCCCAGGCCCCUCUUCACCUUUCCCAGCACUGAGAUGCUCCCUUAAGAGGAUGGGCUGGCCCUCCCUGGCCCACUCACCCAGCACGAGCAGCUGGGACCCUCGCCCAACCAGGCUGUCCCUGAGGCCUGGGAGCAGCAGCAUGAGGGGACCUCCACAAGGCCCACAGCUGCAAACCACUCUCUGGGACCCUGAGACUCUGGGUCUGGCCUGCCUGGCCCCAGCCCAGGACAGCUCUUGGGACUGGCUGUAGCCAUGACGACAGAAUUCCCUCCCAAACCUCCCAUGAGCCAGGAGGCAGCAGGCAGUUGGCCCCCAGACAUCAGCUUUGAGCUGGAACACUGGGUCCCUUUCCCUUCAACAUUUGCCUGGGCCACCCCCAGGGCCACACGACAGGACCAGCCCUGCCACCCAUUGGGACCCCUAUCACUGGGAUCCCUGCCCAGCCUGCUGAAGACUGAGCCAUAAGACCCAGGACACCCCUCCUGCCCUGUGGCACCUACAGCCUAUGACCCUCUCAGGACAGUGACUGUCAUGGCCAAGACAGAGCCACAGCAGGACCGGGCAACCUGCCUAGAGGUCCCAAACGUCCACACCCCCCUGACCUCGAUGUCUACAGGGAAUCUGGACACUGAGGGUCCUCCAGAGGGGAGAGUGAUCACAAGCAAGGGGGCCCCGAGGCCCCAGCCAGCCAGCAGGAUGCCCUGCCUCUUCAAGCCAGCCUUCCUGGCAGAUGGUGCCCUCUCACACAGAACAAGUCCCUGACCCAGAGGGGCCUGGCCUGAACCCAGGCACUGGGAGGGCAGGGGCACCAUGAGCGCCCGCACAGCUAGGAUGAGGACUGAGGGGACUGAGCCCCCUGUGGUGCUGGCCAGUCCUGGAUUCUGGCCUAAGGCAAGGUGAGCCCUCCAGAGCAGUAUGUGACUACCUGAAGCCUGGGCACGCCCCACAAGGCCACAUUGGUGACGUGAAGCAGCUCUGGGAGCAGCAGGACACCCCAGCGAAGGGGUGGCAGGGAAAGGAGUACCAGCCCCAUCCUCAUGCCCACAAGUGGGCAGGGUCGGCCAGACGCCAGGGCCCUGAGCAGCCACCUGGCACCCAUGGGGCAGAACCCCAAGGCCGAGCAGACAGCCUGGGGCCCUGCUCCGAGAACCCAAGGGCUGCUGCUCCAGGUCGGGCUGGAGGACGCUGGCUGGGUACACCUAAGAGGCCAGCCCCUCACUGUGCUGUCAUAGUUGGCAACUGCCUUUCAGGGUCCCCAAAACACAGGAAAUGCGGCCCCACUCAAGUCAGAAGGAGGCUCCACGGUGGCGCACACUAGCCCCUCCUAGUCUGGUUUCAGAGUUCCCUAAGAAGGCCUCCCUCUCAGGAGGAAUGGAUGCGCCCUUGGCCUCAAUUCCUCCCUUGCUGGCUAAAGGUCAAUAAAGUGUUUUUGUGUUAAAAUGCAAGACCGGCCUGUUCUUACAGUGCCCAGAGCCCUCUGCAGGGAGCACUGGACGCCCCCCACAAGAAGCAGAGGGUGGUGCAGCGCGGACCACCUGACCAGCUCCUGCCCACUGCCCUGGCAGAGGGGCCGCCAGCCAGAUGAAGCUGAAGUUCCUGCCAUGCUUCAUGGCAGGCAACUCACACUGCAGCCUCCCAACCUCCACCAGACGCCAGGGUCAAGACCAUCCAAUGAUUUAAUCUGUGCCCAACCAGCCAGGAUGGGGCUAGGAAGAGAGGAGCAGCUGGGGUGCUGCUGGUGUCGGUUCACGACAAUCUGUGCAAAGUGUUCGUGGGAGGUCUGCGGACACUCUGUCCAUCGACCCUGGGCUGGCCAGGCUCCGGCAGCAUUCCCUCCUUCCUCCGUCUGUGCCUCCUCCCCACAGCCGGCACCUUCAGGCCCUGUGUCUGUGCCCGGCAGGGACUUCAGAGUGAGCUACUGCCGCCUAGUACUACAAGACCACCUUCUCCAGGAAGCCCUCCUGAGUUUCUUCAGACCAUACAUGGUGCUGGACAAGCAUGCACCUGAGGUGCACAGGAAAGCCCUAAGCCAAUCAGAGCCAAGGGAUGCAGAGCCGGAAGGAUGUGCAGAGAGGGUGGGCAUAAGCCAAUGCUGAGCUUAAAGGAGGGGUCCUCCACUUGCUUUGGUGGCAUGCUUGGGUGUUAGCAGAGAAAGAAAGCCUGGGCAAGUGCCCCACAGCAAGACCAGGGAGAAGGGGGUAACAGGUGGGUCCCAUCCACCCGGCAAAUACAGGACAUCCACCUGCUUCAACCAGGCUUUGCAAAGAAGGGGGAAAGGAAGCGUGGGAAGGAGAUCCAGGCCCAGGCAGGCUCCCGAGUCUGACAGCUGCUCUAGUAGUUGCUUUAGGCUGAGAAGGGCUUGAGCGAGCUGGGCGGCUGGGGCAGUGGGCAGCACCUGAGAAGCUGCGCCAACAGUGAGCCCGACUCAAAGGCCCUCAAAACGCCCAGCAAAAGAAUGAGAGCCUCCUCCAGUUCCAGAUUGACACGCAAAGGGCCUGAAGUUCCAAUCCCAGCUCAGCCACAUGCAUUUGGACCCCAACUCACCCGCUAUUAGGGGUGUGAUUUGAACCAAGUACUCAGUGUCUCUGUGCCUCAGUUUAUUUCUCUUUAAAGGGGAGGCACUCCUGCUUACACAUCUGAACUAUCCAGUAGACUCAGUCAGGAAAGAACCAGACACGUGGCAAGCACUCAACAAAGUGCAGACCCGGGAGUUGAUCCCAGCAUCGGAGUCCAAGCGCCAGCUCUUUACAAGAAGCAAGUGGCAAGACUUGACUGUUCUGAUCAAAACUGGAAUCUUUUAUGCACGUCUACAGCUGCCCUGAAUCUAGUGUCGGAUUCCUAAGCCAGGCCAAGGAGAUGGAGAGGGCCUGCCCACCCCCUAAACCCUACAGGCAGGUGGAGAGUUAACAGGAGUGCCUCCCAUUGCCUAAGACGGAGGAAGACGGAGGGGGAGAUAGCACCCAGCAGGGACAGUUUCCAUCUCCCGGCCCCUGUGCCUGCACUGCAGGAUCAGGCCUGCAGAGCAACCGUGAAGUGAGUCUUGGUCUCCGCCCCACAACGUCCCACUGCAGAAACAAGCAAAGGGGACAUGAAAGGAGAAGUCUCCGGUGAGGCCGCCAAAGGCUGAGUGGGAGGGACAGCAGGAUGCCAGGGACAGCUGCCCACUAUGGGUUCCAAAGAGUAGCUGUCCUCACGGAAAUCUGAGGAUCCUCGUUUAGCACCCAAAAAACCUAGGACCUGAUGAGGGGACCAGACAUUGACUCCUACAACCCAGGCUGCUUUAUCAAAACCUGACUUCCAGGCCCACAUUCCUUCCCCGUGCUCUCUGCUGUGGUUCCCAAGGAAGGGACCAGCCUUAGGAUGGAGUAAGAGCUCUAGACCCUGGCCAGAAGAGAUAAGACCGGCCUGCCUAAGACAUCGUGGAGGUCCCGGCUGGAGGGCCUGGAGAUCUGGAGUCUUCCAAGAAACAGGUGCUGCAGGUCCUGCCCUGGGCCUUCCCAAUGACCCCAGCCUCUGAGCUCCAGGAACCCUGCAUUUAAUAGUACACCUUAUUCAGAAAUAACAUGAUCAGCUCAGCCCAGUCUGGCCCUCGUUCCCGCCUUCCGGGUCGAGUCAUGCACCCCUCACUCACACUGUUCCCUUAUCUCUGCUCCUCUUCUCCUACUCACAGCCUCAUGGUCUUCAGGAAUCAGCUCAGGUCCCACGUGGUCCAAAAAGCCGUUCCUUCUGCUUCAACCCCUGUUGAUUCAUCCCUUUCCAUCAGCCCAAAACACGUAUUGACCAUAUACAAUUUGGCACCUCAUUAAAUCCUCCUCUUAUACCUUUCUCUCAUUAUAUAUAUAUAUAUAUAUCCAUAUAUAUAUCCCCAGCUAGGCUUACAGGCGGGAGCCAUAUCUUUCUCUUCUCUGAGAUUCCCCAGUGCACACCCUGAACCCCUUCACAUGGCUGUUCCUCCAGGUUGGGCUUCCACCCUCUGCCCAGCCCACUGCAAUCACCUGGUGGCUGCUGAAAUACAUCCUGUGCAACUUGCCAAACUAACCUUCCUCAAGCACCAGGCUGAUCAUGGCACCCCCAGGUCAGAACCGCUCAAAGGCUCCCCACUGAUUGUUCAGUGAAGCGCAAACUCCUUUGCUUGGCAUUCAAGAUCCUCCAUGACUGGGCUCAGGCGCCAUCCAAGGUUUCUCUACCGUCCCUCUCCUAUGUACACUCCAUGCUUCAGUUAACUCAAUACUUGGCCAGUUCCCAAAUACAAUACAAUUUCUCAUCUUGCUGCUCUGGCUCGUGCCAUUUCUGCCACUUGGAACACCCUUCCCUCCCACUGCCAUUUGUGGAAUUCCUACCCAUUGUUCAGGGUUCAGCUCAAAUACCAACUGUCCCUCCUCAGGGCCACACCAAGAGGAGGCCGCUGCCACCUCUGAACCCAUGCAAAAUGGUACCCCCAUGGGGGUAUUUAUUCGCCUCCUAUCACAGAGCCUCCCUAUGCACUUGUUUCUUCUCCUCUGUGAGUGUAAACGGCUGGACAAGGGCCGUCCUGCAUCUCUACAACCCAGCAAAAGGACAUUACCAAGUCUUUCUUGUUUUCUCACAUUUCCAAUCUUUUCUGAAAGAGAUUCUAAAACUCUAGGUAUGGAUUUAGCUACUGUGAAAAGCACAGUGCCACCAGAUUCAGGAUGAAUGUCCCCUUGGCUGUGGUCAGUGGGGAUGCCUCUCAGAUGCUGGCUCCAAAACCCAAUCCAGACAAGGACUUUGACGCAGGUCAGCAAUGGGCCAUAGAGGGAUGGUCACUCAUCCAGCCUUUGAAGCCCUCUGGGGUUCCCGUUCAUGGGACUCCAGAUUUGGGGGAGAUGUGGGAUUCCUAGGCCUGCCUGCCAGCAUUCUUUGGACUCUGGAGCUCAGGGUGUCUAAGAGAAGGGGGUGCAGAGGUUACAUCAGUGCCCAUGUGGUUGUUCAGGGCCAUAUGUUCUUAAUGAGAAUCUCCCAAGCCAGGGAGGCCAGUGUACAGCAGGAUCCAUGAGACCCUUAACAAACCUUCCACCCUCCCUCUGCCAAGUUUCAGUUACCCCCCCACCACCACUUAUGCCUACAAUCCUUGUCUUUCCCCACCCUACACACAUACACACACACCUCUAUAACCUGUUCUGGACAGCCCACCCAACCUGACGUGGGCUGGAUGGGCAGGUCCAUACAGAACAUGGAACAAUCAAGAACACUGAACCAGGGGUCCAAAGGCCUGGGCAAGUGAGAGCCACUUCUCCCAAGCUCAGUUUCCUUGCCUAGAGUGUGUGCACCAUCAAUAGUACUGAUCACAGACACCCUGCAAAGGACUAUGCAUUCAUCAUCUGGCCUGACAACAAGGGAAUGGACGCUGCCCCAGGCACUGGGACACCUGAGCUGCAGUCCCCGUUAUGCCUUCCUACCCUCAUGUCCUGUGUGUCCCUGACUGUCUGAAGUCCCAGUCUGCCUCCAAGGGUGGUUUGAGAACCAAAUGAAGGUGUGACUGUGAAGGUGCAGAAUGGCCAGGGGGACAGAAUGGACGACCUUGGGAGCCACAGCGGGAGGAGGGACAGAAGUCUUGCCUGGGCCUAGCCUCCAGUGGGACAUCACAGAGCCCUGGCUGGCUGGGCCAGGCUUCUCCCAAGGGCCUGGGGCCACCUGCACCAUCUCUCUGAUCACAGCAGGUUUGUAGCUGUCUCCGUUUGGGCUGGAAAUGGUAGGCUUUUUGUAGUUUUGAGUUUAAGAUCUUCAGACCCCUCCCUCUGCUCUUUUCCUUAUUAAAGUUUCC